rnacentral:misc_RNA from 1 species
AAGUCGUAACAAGGUUUCCGUAGGUGAACCUGCGGAAGGAUUAUCAUGUUAAUACUGAUGAACCAAUAUCAACCCAAUGCGAACUGUAACGUCCCUAUUGCACUCGAAAGGGUGCAGUAGACAAUACCCCAUAAACCUAGUAGUCACUAGUCGUUUCGCGGUGCUUCGGUGCCGUUGAGAUGAUUUAGUGAUGAACUAUUCACCAAUUUUAACCCUAUAAUUUAAACCUUGACUAAUCUUCAUAAACUUUUGUAACUUUACUCUUUACGGGGUGCGGUUGCUGAAGCUUUACGAAAUAUUGAACAACUCUUAGCAAUGGAUAUCUUGGGUCAU